AAAAGGAUCUCUUACGUCGGAGGUACUAAUAGUCUCAUACAAAACAAAAUUUUAGCAUUUUGAGUUACAAUCAUCAUCGUAAUCGUUUGGUAAAAUGAAACGUGCAUAUUCAGAUCGAGAAGGUGGUCAGUCGGCAGGUAGAAGGCGACAUAGUGACGAAAAUGAACCCUUACCACAGUUGCAUACCAUAUUUUAUGGCGAGGUUGCAUCUGUUCAACAGUAUGGGGUUUUUGUGAAAAUUCCAGGAUACAGAAAACAGGGCUUGGUGCAUAAAUCCCAGAUGUCAAAAAGCCGAGUUGAAGAUCCCUCAGAAAUGCUGGCCACUGGUGAAAAAGUCUAUUGCAAAGUUAUAUCAGUGGAGAACAACAAAGUAGGUUUGUCAAUGAAGGUAGUAAGUCAAACAUCAGGUCGGGAUGAAGACUCUGCAAAUGUACAGUCAUCAAUGGACUUGCAGAAGAACAGAAAGUUUCACAAAGGAGAGAGACCAAAGAUUGAGUUAGGGGCAGUUCUAGACACCAACUGCAAAAAGUGUGGGGGUCAUGGUAAUUCUCAAAUUCCUGUACAAUAUAGUUCUAACAAAAGACCAUGUAAAAUAUAAUGUUGUGUUUUCAUAAACAUUUUUAUUUAGUGUAAAACUUAAGGGACAUCUAACAGGGUUGAUUAUGGUCAUGUAUCUUCGUAAAUAAAGUUCUGAUAAUGUGCAGGUAGUAUUUAUACACAAUCUUAUACUUUUAGUAUUACUGUAAUUUAAAGCCUAAUCCUAAUUUAAGAGAUACUGUUCAUAGAAACAAAGGAAGGAGACUACAUGUAUUUACUCGUGUCAUGAUUUUCAUUUAUAGGUCAUUUAGCCCAGGACUGUUUCCAUGUGGCUGGAGGAAAGGGGUAUGACUUGAUAGAGGAAGAGGAUGAAGCAUUGGAAUCACAUGAAAAAACACCAAAACAAAAAUCCUCCAAAUCCAAGAAAAAGAAAAACAAAAAAGAAAAGAAAUCAAAGAAAGCGAAGAAGAGGCAUCACGGGAGUUCCGAGUCAGAUGAGGACAGUCCCCGACACAAGAAACUUAAAAAGCACAAACAGAGGAGUAGGAAGUCCUCCAGUAGUGACAGCGAUGGAUAAUGCUCUGUAACAAUGAUAAGAGUUCAUAUUCAAUAAAUACUAUCCCA
rnacentral:misc_RNA from 1 species